UGUUCUGGGCGGCAGCUACCAUGCAGUCGGACGGUAGCACAGAGAGCUUGCUCUUGGGUGACGAGUGGCGGACGGGUGAGUAAUGUCUGGGGAUCUGCCCGAUAGAGGGGGAUAACCACUGGAAACGGUGGCUAAUACCGCAUAACGUCGCAAGACCAAAGAGGGGGACCUUCGGGCCUCUCACUAUCGGAUGAACCCAGAUGGGAUUAGCUAGUAGGCGGGGUAAUGGCCCACCUAGGCGACGAUCCCUAGCUGGUCUGAGAGGAUGACCAGCCACACUGGAACUGAGACACGGUCCAGACUCCUACGGGAGGCAGCAGUGGGGAAUAUUGCACAAUGGGCGCAAGCCUGAUGCAGCCAUGCCGCGUGUAUGAAAAAGGCCUUCGGGUUGUAAAGUACUUUCAGCGGGGAGGAAGGCGAUGCGGUUAAUAACCCUGUCGAUUGACGUUACCCGCAGAAAAAGCACCGGCUAACUCCGUGCCAGCAGCCGCGGUAAUACGGAGGGUGCAAGCGUUAAUCGGAAUUACUGGGCGUAAAGCGCACGCAGGCGGUCUGUUAAGUCAGAUGUGAAAUCCCCGGGCUUAACCUGGGAACUGCAUUUGAAACUGGCAGGCUUGAGUCUUGUAGAGGGGGGUAGAAUUCCAGGUGUAUCGGUGAAAUGCGUAGAGAUCUGGAGGA
rnacentral:rRNA from 1 species